rnacentral:rRNA from 1 species
UGGGGAAUAUUGUACUUCUGGCGAAAGCCUGAUCCAGCAAUGCCGCGUGAGUGAUGAACGUCUUAGGGUUGUAAAGCUCUUUUACCCGGGAUGAUAAUGACCGUACCGGGAGAAUAAGCCGCGGCUAACUCCGUG